CAUGUAUAAUUGUAGGUGUCUAUUCUUACUUUAAAACUUCUGAAGAGCCCAAACAACUCUACCUUAACCUAACUUCAUCUGAAUAAGCUUUUGACAGGUCAAAAUAUCUUUCAAGGAAAACUUUUUUUUUUAUUAAUAUUAUAACCAGUCAUUUUAUGCUGACCGCAAACAGCAGGAAUGUACAAGGGCAAUAUCAAGACUUUACUAACUGGUCUUGGCUGAUCUUGCAGAAGUAGCUGCAAGCUGUAAUGUUGCAGCAUUUUCUCCUUUAAUGUCUUCUUCGUCUUCUUCUUUUUUUUUUUUAAUAACAUACGUAAUUAGCUUUCCAUUGUUGGUUGUGAAUCUCAGCUUGCUCUCUUUCAUCAGACCUUGUUUUGUUCCUGUUUACUGAGAGUUCUGACUAGAGGAAGUUGCUAGUAAAUUCAUUUGUGGCUAGAUUUCUGCCUUGCCUAAACUCUUGUUUUACUUUCAAUCCCAGAAUCGUCUUGAUCAUAUUUAAACCUCAGAGACUCUUUUUUUCUUUUAUCCUUCUUACCUACAGCCUAGACCUUGCAUUCUCCCUAAAACCUCCAUUGAUCCAUUUAAAGUCCUCAAAAGAAUGGAUGAAUGGAUAGCACAUUCAGACGUGUAAUAGCAUCUACUGGAGAAAACCUAGAGUUGGGAGGAGCAAUAGGAGAAUUGAGUUCCUAAUUGACCUUCAUUUCUGGAGCAGAGCGCAGAAAUAUAACUGCUGAAUGAAGGCUCUAGGAAAGGACCGUGAUCCUUGGUAUACAAUUUUUAAGGUAGAUUAUUGGAGAAUGUAUCAGUCCUUCUUCUGUUAGGAUCAGAGUUUAGGAUCUAAGCCUUAGGGUUACAACUGUAUGCUAUGGUGGAAACUGGACCUCCAGCCUUGUUCUAUCCCCUCAGUAUUUUAUAUAGGUAUUUGCUAAAGCUUCUCUCAACAGAGCACUAGCCACCUUUCUGAGGAACCUCCCUGCUUUCUCAUCCUAGUUUACUUUUUGUCUCUCACACUAAGGUGGCCAUUUAUAGCAGAGAGCAAAUGUUGCCUUAGUCCACUUGUAAUCAUAAUCCCAUGUUCCUCUUAACAAAGUAUCUAGUCAUUAGUUCUAAAGAAGGUGGUCAGUAGGACAUCAUUCUGUGUUCCACAUCAAAUUUUUUGUCUCAGUUUUGUCACAGACUCAUUCAAGAGCAUUUCACCCUGAUGAUAGAGUUGGAGAGGCUCUAUCAACUAUAUAUAUCUAAAAUACAUUGAUGAACAAUUUAUUUUGGAUAUAUAGAUAUGACAGAUUGGUUUUUAUAACCUGAAAACUUUAAUUAAAAAAAGCAAUUGCUAGCAUUUCACAUACGAAAUCUCCCUUAAAAAUUCAGAUUUCUGGCUUCUUUCAAAAAAUUAAAAGAUUUUUGCCUCAUUGAGCUUGUGUUUCUUCUUGGCAGCAGUCAGAGGGAGGUCAGUGUUGCCUGUCUCCUUUAGACAGGUGUUCUUCAGUUUCCACAUUUCCCUGACCCAGCAGUCACUUGUAUUACUUGCCUAGCUCCUGUGGUCAUUUGAGUCUGCACCUUUUGUUUUAGACACCCACUGCAGGAAUAGCUGCUGACAUAUUGUUCUUAUCGUGUCUGUCUAAUCUAAAGAUACAAAAAUGGAACAGAUUAACAGUUAUAACAAUAUUGUUUCUAACAUUUUUUUUUCAGUUUUUGCUGCAGACAUGGAAAUUUGCUAGAAGUAUUUAUAUAAGUUGUUGAAGGGCAAGUAUCUUAUUUCCAUACGAACUGAGUUGCUUGUUCAAAAUCUUUGCUGCUUUGGGCAGGGGCAGGGUUAGUGAGGACAUAUCCUGCUGCUUCUGUCCGCACAUGAGACAUUUUACACAAUUUUGAUUCCAGGUGGAGUACUUGAGAAAUAAUGAGAAUAUUGCUUAGAAGGAAUGGUGUCUGUCUUGAACGGACACAAAGAAAUGUGUAGUAACUGACUUGAGAAUAAACAGACUCUUUAAAAGUUUGUUUUAUCAUAAGGGACGACAUCGUGAGAGAGCAGUUUAGUGGAGUCCUACAAAGCACCAGCCCUGACUGACCCCAGAUUCAGAGGCUGCUCACCUUCCUAGAAUGUUUAUACCUGGAGGGAGUAGGGGAAAAUGAAGAUGCAUGCCAGAAACUGAAUCAAAAGUGGUCAUGUUUCUGUUGCUUUCCUGAAAAUCUGAAGAGUCUUUAUGUGAGGUCUUGAUACUUUGUUUUAUAUUUAUUUUAUAUUUAUUGAGACAAGAUAUUAAAAGCAUAUGUUAUAGAGUGAGCAUCUGAGGAAAUAUUCUAAUUUUGGUAGUUGAAUGUAAAGCUGUUUUCUGGAGAGCAUUAAGAGUAGGGUGAGUUUGGAGUUCCUAUUGUGGCUCAGCAGUUAAUGAACCUGACUAGGAUCCAUAAGGAUGUGGGUUUGAUCCCUGGCCUCACUCAGUGGGUUAAAGAUUCGGCGUGGCUGUGAGCUGUGGUGUAGGUCACAGAUGUGGCUCAGAUCCCGAGUUGCUGUGGCUGUGAUGUAGGCUGGCAGCUACAGCUCUGAUUCGACCUGUAGCCUGGGAAUCUCCAUAUGCCAGGGGUGUGGCCCUAAAAAGGAAAAAAAAAAGAGUAGGGUGAGUGUGGAGCAGUAAAUGAGAGAGAGAGAAAAUAGGGGGCAGGGAGAGAAAGAGAAGGAGAGAAUGUGUGAGUGUGUGCGUAUUGUGUAGAACUGUAGAGUUUCAGGGAAGAAUUGAGACUGAAUUGGAAAUAAUGCACGGCACGUGUGAGUUGUAACUGACUCUAGAGUUGAAAUGCAAAGCCUUCUCUUGCUACUUGUUCUGCACAUCUCUCCUGGCUGCUACUUACAUGUACGUAUUUUUUGAGUCUUUUAAAGAGUUUUAAGGUAGAGUAAUUGAUCAAAACAUUAACAAUAACUCAAAAGUUGGGACAAAUCACAGUUUCAAUGACUUUUAUUUUAUUUUUUUUUCCUUUUUAGGGCUGCACUAGUGGCAUAUGGAAAUUCCCAGGCUAGGGGUCAAAUCAGAGCUGGAGCCAUUAGCCUACGCCACAGCUGCACAGCAAUGUGGGAUCCGAGCCAUGUCUAUGACCCAUACCACAGCUCAUGGCAACGACGAAUCCUUAACCCACUGAGCGAGUCCAGGGAUGGAACCCGAAUCCUCAUGGGUCUUAGUUGGGUUCGUUAACUGCUGAGCCAUGAAGGGAACUCCUCAAUGACUUUUAGAAAACUGUUGAUACGAAUGUGGAGUGUCUGGCAUCUGAGAGGCAAAUGGGGCAGAGCUGCUAGCAGAUUGUAGACAGUUCAUUUUCAAAGCCAUGCAGUUAUUUCAGUGUUGGCUGGAGUCUGCAAGUGCUGCAGUGAAGUAUCCGUUUCCUUUUUAUCUUCGACUUAUAACAAACCAAGCAAAAAUUACACUACGUUUUGCAGACAUCAGUUGCCUUUCAUGAUGAAAUCAAAGAUGUUUAAUUUGAGCUCUUAAUAUGCAAAUUUUAUUUAUAAAAAAUUUAAAUGAUUAUAUUCCUGUAAAAUACUUUUAUUCAUAACUUGAAGAUAAAAAUAUGCUAUUUAGUUAGUCAAAAAACAAUCUAAAGUAACACAUUAAUGGUAAACAAUGUAGUACAAUGUAUGUCAGCCUGGUCUUUGCAUUUCUAUGCUAAAUAUUAAGGGGGAUAAACUUUAAUUCAUAUGUUUACAAGCUAAUCUUUAAUUGAAAUAGUUGUUAAUCUCAAUGUGGGAACUUGAAUAUUCUAUGAUUUAAAAUCAGAUCUAAAGUUGUGAAAUACUAUACCACUAUUGGUUUUGAGUGAGCAAAACGGAAUACAGAGUAAUAGUUACAUGUAUAAUGUACUUUGUAGUCAUAACUUCAUCUUUACUAUUGUAUAGCUAAAGAUUAAUCUUUUUGACAUGACUUACAGAAGGUGUUCUUUAGUAGAGCUCAUGCAGAGCUAUUUGACACUGAAAGAAAGUGCUUCUCUUGGUGGGAAAGACAUCCAUCCAUUUCACUGAGCUCGCUUUCAUGUGGAACCAAAGUAAUUAGAUGUCUGGCUUUAGUAGUAUAGUAUUAAGUCUUAUCUUGAGGACACCUAAGGUUUAUGUAAUACCCAGGCAUCAAUCAAUUAGACUCAGAAAAAAACAAGUCAAUUUUAUGAGUCUGCAUGAGUCAGGCAUUUGAUUAUCCUGAGAAAACGGGGUCUGGUUCUUUUCAGUGAAGCUUUCCUUCUGCAGUCGAUUAACUGUUGACUCUUGUUCUAUUGACCCUCACUAAUUUUGUUGCAUGAUCUGUCAUUCCUUAUCUGGACUGAGAGGGAGAUCCCUCUGUAAAUAUCAACAACUGAUGAGGUUAAGAGAGGGCGCCAUCUGUUCUGGAAUGAAUUUUCAUAGUGUGUGUCUGUGGAGAGUGAUUCUUGAGCCUGCAGCCUAAUACAUUUUCUAAGACCAGAUUACGAAUUAUAGCUCUCUCUUGUACACAUAAAACAAUUAUUGGUCAACCAGCACCAAUAUAGAUAUUUAUAAAUUAGAAGUUGACUUUGUCUUUAUUCUUUUAUUUUUUUACAUUAUAUUUGUACUAAUGUAAAAUCAUGCCUUUAUAUGGAAAUAGAGUUUAGAGACUCAAAUAAAUUACCAACUAAGGAUUAGCUGGUGCAGUUUCAUUUUACUCUCACUUUUUUUUAAAUCAAAAAAUUUAGUGGCUUGUUUAAAACAACAACUUUGGAUCUAAUCCUUUAAUUAGUAUAGACAGUAAACUCACUUAAAAUCUCUGCUGCUGGUUUUAUGUUCUUUGUUAGAUAUAAUUUGGAUCUCUAUAUCCAUUCUCCCGAGCCUCUAAAAUUUUUUUGUUUUAUAUCUUAUUUCUAUAAUAAAUGUAAGAAAAUUUUUUCUAAAAUCUAGUUGAAUUAUAUGUUACAUAUUAGACACAGAAUGUGGAAUUUGCUGGAAUAAACUUAUUGCUGAAGAGCUGUCCAGAGUGGCAUAUGAUCAUCACUGCUGAAUAUUUCUCCUCAACUGGAUUUCUUGUCACCUCAGGUCAAACUGAAAAGUGACAUUUACAAACCAUGAAGCAUUAUAUCCAAAUAAGUUGGACAUUCUAUAAAGGAGAGAUAGUGUAGGCUUAAGAGUGCAGACUGCCCCACAUAAUAUUUGUAAAGUGGAGAUACUAAGAAUUUAUUUAGUUCUUAUCUGAGCCUGAAGAACUUCGUUUUUUGCUUCUCUCCAACACCUGCCUGUACUCUUACUGGGUAAAAUCAUGAGCAGAUUCCUGAACAUCCUGUUUUAUUCCUCAUCUUUACUCCAUCGUUGUUUCCUCUACCCCCUAGAAACUUUUUCCUCUUAGUCUACAUGGUCUUCUCUUCAAGACAAAUUUCGUGCUUUUUUUUUUUUUUUUCCUGUGAAACCUCUGACUAGGGUAAAGAACUCCUUCCUUUGUGCCACUACUGAUCAAAUAUUACAGUGUUUGUCACACUGUGUAAUUAUUUUGCUGACAUGCAAGUCUCAUUUUUAAGACUGUAAAAUCCAUGUACUCAAUAAACCUUGAGUGAAUG
rnacentral:lncRNA from 1 species